rnacentral:rRNA from 1 species
AUACUUAAAACCUAUUUAUAAUGGCGGCAUUUUAUUAUUAUUAGAGGAACCUGUUUAUUAAUCGACAAUCCACGAUAAUUUUCACUUUAAUUAAAAGUUUAUAUACCGCCAUCUAAAGAACUAAUUACUAUAAUUUUAUUCUUAAUAAAAAAUAAAAAGUUAGGUCAAGGUGUAACCUAUAUAAAAGAUAAAAAUGGGUUACAUUAAACCUUAUUUAAGGACUAUAUUAUAAAAAUAAUAUUUAAAAAAGGAUUUAAAGGUAAUAUUAAAAUAAUAAUUGAAUAUGAACAAGAUAAAAAAUGUGCACACAUCGCCGGUCGCUCUUA